rnacentral:rRNA from 1 species
AACGAACGCUGGCGGCAUGCCUAACACAUGCAAGUCGAACGAGACCUUCGGGUCUAGUGGCGCACGGGUGCGUAACGCGUGGGAACCUGCCCUUAGGUUCGGAAUAACUCCCCGAAAGGGGUGCUAAUACCGGAUAAUGUCUUCGGACCAAAGAUUUAUCGCCCUUGGAUGGGCCCGCGUUGGAUUAGCUAGUUGGUAGGGUAAAAGCCUACCAAGGCGACGAUCCAUAGCUGGUCUGAGAGGAUGAUCAGCCACACUGGGACUGAGUCACGGCCCAGACUCCUACGGGAGGCAGCAGUGGGGAAUAUUGGACAAUGGGCGAAAGCCUGAUCCAGCAAUGCCGCGUGAGUGAUGAAGGCCUUAGGGUUGUAAAGCUCUUUUACCCGGGAUGAUAAUGACAGUACCGGGAGAAUAAGCUCCGGCUAACUCCGUG